AUUGAACGCUGGCGGCAGGCCUAACACAUGCAAGUCGAACGGUAACAGGAAGAAGCUUGCUUCUUUGCUGACGAGUGGCGGACGGGUGAGUAAUGUCUGGGAAACUGCCUGAUGGAGGGGGAUAACUACUGGAAACGGUAGCUAAUACCGCAUAACGUCGCAAGACCAAAGAGGGGGACCUUCGGGCCUCUUGCCAUCGGAUGUGCCCAGAUGGGAUUAGCUAGUAGGUGGGGUAACGGCUCACCUAGGCGACGAUCCCUAGCUGGUCUGAGAGGAUGACCAGACACACUGGAACUGAGACACGGUCCAGACUCCUACGGGAGGCAGCAGUGGGGAAUAUUGCACAAUGGGCGCAAGCCUGAUGCAGCCAUGCCGCGUGUAUGAAGAAGGCCUUCGGGUUGUAAAGUACUUUCAGCGGGGAGGAAGGGAGUAAAGUUAAUACCUUUGCUCAUUGACGUUACCCGCAGAAGAAGCACCGGCUAACUCCGUG
rnacentral:rRNA from 1 species